rnacentral:rRNA from 1 species
GCACCCGCGGUAAUUCCAGCUCCAAUAGCGUAUAUUAAAGUUGUUGCAGUUAAAAAGCUCGUAGUUGGAUUUCUGCGAGGGUGCCAAUGUCCGCCGACGCGCGUGCGCAGCGGCGCCCUCGCAUCCUUCUGUUACCACCUCUCGGCAUUCACUUGCCGGUGGUCGGCUCAGAGAAUUUACCUUGAGAAAAUUAGAGUGUUUCAGGCAGGCUAGGCCGGAAUACAUUAGCAUGGAAUAAUGGAAUAGGACUACGGUCUCGUUGUUGGUUUGAGGGACUGCAGUAAUGAUUAAUAGGGAUAGUUGGGGGCAUUAGUAUUUAAUUGUCAGAGGUGAAAUUCUCAGAUUUGUUAAAGACUAACUUAUGCGAAAGCAUUUGCCAAGGAUGUUUUCAUUAAUCAAGAACGAAAGU